rnacentral:misc_RNA from 1 species
UGUCCGUAGGUGAACCUGCGGAAGGAUCAUUACUGAGUGAGGGCCCCUCGGGGUCCAACCUCCCACCCGUGUUUAACGAACCUUGUUGCUUCGGCGGGCCCGCCUCACGGCCGCCGGGGGGCAUCUGCCCCCGGGCCCGCGCCCGCCGAAGCCACCUGUGAACGCUGUCUGAAGUAUGCAGUCUGAGUCAAUUAUUAAAUUAAUUAAAACUUUCAACAACGGAUCUCUUGGUUCCG